AGUUAAAGUGCUUAAACUGAAGCAAAUUGUAUGAAAGUUCGUGCAGCAAUUAAACACCCAACACAUUUUUCACCCGUCAACUCAAAAUAUAUUAAAGCUUUUAAAUCUCGUGCGCAAGCUAUUUAUUAUUAUUAUUUAUUAUUUAAUCUUAUUUAAUCACGGUAGCCUUUCAGAAGUACAUCUGUUUUUCAAAGGGCCGUGAGUUCAUUAAAAUAUUUACAUAAUUGGAGAGAGAAAAAAAGAGAAAAAAAAAGGAAAUCUAAAAGCGAGAAAAACAGGCCACUUACAUAAACUAUUUACAUGGAUGCAAUUAAUUACACUAUAGAUUAGGACCAAUGGAUUAGGACAUACGUUUUAUGACAUUCUUAAAGGAGUUGACAGAGAUAUCUUCUAUUAAUGCUUGAUCAAUAAUAUGAUUAGGUAGGUUAUUCCAACUCAUAGCUCCUCGAUAGGGAAAGCUAUUUUUUAGAAAAUUUGGCUUAGGCAGGUAAAUAUUUCUAUUGUUGCUACGUAAUUGAUAGUUGCCGUUUUCGUUCAAGUUAAUUGUCUGCAUUAGGUAGUCGGGC